UUUUGAUCGCCAUCAUGGACAUUCAUUAACCUGAAUCCCUGAAUUUUCUGCUUACAAUGUGGCAGAUUGUAAGCUGUAAAAGUUUUAUAAAGAUCUGAAUUCAUCUUGAAUGAUGUCAUCCAGUGGUAGUCAUUUACAAGCUGUCAGUUCCUUGACAGGAAUAGUCCAGCCAUCUUUGCUUUCUGAUCAAAAUUCAGAAUCUCAACAGUUUACAAGUAGUCGGAAUCUCAGUCAGUUACAGGAAGUAGUCAAUCAAGUACAGAAAUCUCAAAACCAUGACAGUUCCCUAGAGGUAAAGAUGUCGGACCCUGUUAUAACGCUAUAUACAUCCAAAAAUGUCCAGUCACCUCAGAAACUGGUGGAACAACUUGCUAAAGAGAAAGGAUUCAUGAACAGUCCAAUUAUUAUUGUAGAAAACAUUUCUAAAGUUACAUCAGCUUCUUCCAUGACAACACCUACUACAUCAACGUCACAAUCACCACCAAACUUAUAUGUUUCCAUGCCAACACCAGAAUCGUCAGCUCAAACCUUACAAUCGUCUUUAUUGACUAGUCAGGAAGUUCAUAAAUGUGAAGAAUGUGAUUACUCUAGCCAUAACAAACAUUACCUAAAACAACAUGUAGAUCUGGUCCAUUGUGCUAGCAGACCAUAUAAAUGUCCCUUUUGUAAUUAUGCUGGAAAGCGUAGCCACUCCUUACGAGAGCAUCUGAUGGUUCAUUCAAAUGAGAGGCCUUUUGUUUGUACUCAUUGUAAUGCCACAUUUCGUAAGAAAGGACAUUUAACCAAUCAUGUUAAACUUCAUCAGAAGAUGGUGGCAUGCCCUAUAUGCAAAGUUUCCAUUUAUCAACCAGAUGUUGAACCACACAUGAAGUCUGUUCACAAUGUUGAUAAGCUGUAUGUGUGUGAUGUGUGUAGUUUCAUGGCUGUUAAUAAGACAGAGAUUGAAGAACAUUUGAAAUUACACAAGACUCAGUGCUCACAAAUGUAUGUGUGUGAAAUGUGUAAUCACAGGAGUAAGAGUUUUGAACAUUUUUGUGCACAUGCUGAAACACAUCGGGAGAGUAUAGAGGCACAGAAGAAAGCAGAAACAGUUGAAAAUAUGAAAAAUGAACCAGCUCAAAAUAUACCCAUUGAAAGAAAAAUGAUGAAAUGUUCUGAAUGUGGGUUUGUGUCUGGUGAUAUUUUGAAGAUGAAAGAGCACAUGCUUGUCCACAUUGAGCAGGAAGAGUCUGGUGAAAUGAAAAAACAUUCGUCUCCCACCUCAAAAGAAGUUGCAGAGAAUAUAAAGCCGCAACCUCAGACAACAACACCUGAAGGCAAGGCAGAAUACAAAUGUGUAGAAUGUGAAUUCUCUUGUAGUGAAGCCUAUGUUUUUGUAGUUCACAUGCUGACACAUAGGCCAGAUUUACAGAUUCACACAGACAAGUCACUGGAGUAUCCUGAACAAUCAAAACUUAAUCAAACACAGCCACAAAUCAUGAAUGAGAUGGUUGUGCAGCAGAAGAAAUUAGAUCAAAAGUUGCCCAUGUUACCCAAGACUAUAAAACUACAGAAAAUUCCAAAACCACCACAAGAUGCAGAAAGAAUACCUGCUGUCAAUUACCAGGAUAAAAAGCAAUUUGAAGGGAAGCCAGAACCAAUUAAUCCAGUUGUAACAAAUGAUACAAAUCAGGGCUCAGAAAGCUUGCCUUUUGUAUAUAACACAUCAAAUGCUAAAUUUCGGUGUACGAUUUGUGGUUAUACAUGUGACUAUCAGCGAACAAUCAAAGCUCAUAUCUGGAAACAUUCAGGAAAUAAAGAUAUUGAUUAUCCUAUGUUCCAGAAUGGUCCAUUGAGUAUUUAUGAAGAAAUAUUACUUCAACCAGGAGUAGAAGGAGAAAAACCAGUUGUAUCAACAGCAGUAUCAUCAGUCGAGAGCCAAGGAAGUAAUCUUCCUAUGUAUAACACAAAAACUGUAGUUUUUGAGAAAGCUCAGGAAAUUAACAAGAUGUCAUCUGUUAGCCCAGUGGCUCCAUUUCUGGCAAAUAUGUUAGCAAUGAGAGCCAAACAAAAAGAUACAAAUGGAGAAAAUGACAAUUUACCUUCCAACCAGCCGUCAUCAACAUCAGAUAGUAUCCAAGAGAUUUUGAUUCCUACACAAACUUCCACAGGAACAACUGUCAUUUCAGUAUUUUUGGACACAAUGCACACUUAUGAUAAAGGGAUUACGUCUUUACCACAGAAUCAUGCUGAGAAGGUAGUCUUUAUGUUACCAGACCAAGGACUGAUGAGUUCAAAGGUCACCACAGGACAAUUGGCACCUAGUUCUGUGCAAACUCUUAGUGUUACAGAUGGUCAAGAAAGUGAGACUUACAUUAACCAGCCUGAAGUUAUUCAACAAAAUGUUGAAGUUGAAACAGUCAGUUUGAAACGACAACCGGAGAACCUUGAAACCCAGAAAAUUUAUUCUUCAGAAGACAGGAAAAAUGUUGUUGUGGAAUCAGUGGAUAAUACAAAUCUUAUCAGCUACACAAGUAUAAAAAGUCAACAAAAUAGUCCUCGUGCAGUGUCUGAAGUCAGCCAGUCAGAACUAAGUGAUUCUGGUGUAGGAUCAGAUACUAAUACAGUUAUAGCAUCAACAAUGGAUAAACUAAUAAUAGAAACACUUCCAAGAUCAGAGGAAGACUUAAAAGAAAGCACAAUUUUUCAGGAUUUUGGGACAGAGGUUACAGUAUCAUCUGUUGAAUAUGACAAAAUGGAGGAAGUUAUUGACACUGAUGAUGAAACAUCAAGCAAUGAAAGUGACAUGGAGAUUGUAAAGGAAGAAGAAAAUACAAGGAAACGUAAACGUAUACCAUCGACUUCAAUGACCGAAUCAGCUGUUACUCUACUUUCACUUUUGAAAAAAGGACCAAAUGAAAAUCCUGCUUGUCCUAUGAGUUUAAAAUCAGAAUUUUCAGUGUCAGAUACUAACAUAGAAACAGAAACAGAGGACAAACCAAAGCAGGGUAUUUCGUCAUCAUUACUUGCUGUUAUUGAGCAACUAAGAGAAAGAUCAAAAACAGAAGCUGAACUCGAAGAAGUUCCAGGUGUGAAAAAAACAAGUAAGAAACGCAUGAAACGAGAAUUGUUGGAAGAUUUAACAGAAAUAGAAAAUAUGGGGAAUGUAGAACGAAGGGAGGAAGAAGGAGAAGUCAGAUAUCGUUGUAAGUUGUGUCAUUAUUCAAAUCUUAGCACAUUUGUUAUCAAACAGCAUAUGAGAUUACACAAAACUAAACAGCCUUUUGAAUGUUCUCUGUGCGAUUUUAUUGCUACCUCAAGUGAAUCACUACAGGAUCACAUGAUUCAGCAUUGUAAAGUUCGUACAUAUCAGUGCAAGUUAUGUACAUCAGCUUUUAAUUACAAAAGUCAGCUGAGAGCUCACAUGAGAGCUCAUACGGAAAAAGAGGUUUUUGUUUGUGAUGAUUGCGACUAUGAAACAACAAACCCGGUGAGUUACCGUAAUCAUGUUCGGGGUCACAAUGAAAAGAAACAAUACAAAUGUGAGGUUUGUGAUCGGAAAUUCAUUUCGAAAUAUGAACUAAAAAAUCACAAGAAACAACUGUGCAGUUACCAGAAAUCUUUUCAGUGUGAUGAGUGUGACUUUGUUGCCAUUGGUCCACAAGAACAAAAGCAGCAUGCAAAAAUUCAUAACAAAGAGUUCAAAUGUGCCAAAUGUGAAUAUAAUACUACCAGCAUUACUCGGUUUGAAAAUCAUGCUAAAAUUCAUGAUGAACCAAAAACACUUAAAUGUGAGCUGUGUGACUUCCCAGCAGUCUCAAACAGAAGUCUGAAAUCUCACAUGAAGCGACAUAUCAACGAUCAACGGUUUGUACAACAGCCAUUGGAGCAGUAUAAAUGUAAUAUCUGUGGUUAUGUCUGCCAUCAUCUACCAUCAUUAAAAUCCCACAUGUGGCGACAUGCUAGUGACCAGAAUUACAGUUAUGAAUUUACAAAUGAAGUUAUUAAUGCAGCUAUAGAUUAUGAUAGUAGACUUGAUACGUACGAAUGUCAGAAGGAUGAUAUUAGAGCCUUUUUCCAAACAAUUCGCCAAAAGUUAAAAGAUCGCUUGGAAGGUAUGAAUGCCACUGUUGAUCCACAAUCUGCUGCAUGCUGGGUAACAUUUAGGUGUUGCCAGUGUGGAUUUGAGACUAUUAACAAGGCAGAACUGAAUGUACAUAUGAAAAGUCAUUCUGAUAUUAUUAAAUGGACACUGCAAGUGAACGACAAACAGAAGAAAGAAAAGUUGUGAUGUAACUCUAUGCUGAAUCAAAAUAUAGCUGAAAUUUCACAGCUCAAACUUUCAGUAUUUCAAAUACAAAAAUAUUCAACUGUUUUUUUAUAUUUUUAUUUUUAUUUUUCCAACAAAGCAUUUUUCUAUUAAAUACCUUUAGAUUUUCAAAAAUAACACAUUCAUUUAUUCAGUGCCAAAAAAAAUGAAAACACAUUCUUUGGGCUCUAUCUAUGAAAAAGGAUUUAGAUAAGAUAAUUUUGAUAUCUUAUCAGAAAUGUAUUUUCCUAUCCUUUAUAUAAAGUUCCUCUUAGCAUGCUUAGAUUGAGUUAUUAGAGUUUUUCAGUGUAUUAUAAAACUUGUGUGUUAUGGUUUUUACAAUUUUCUGCAAUUGUUUUAGAACAUUGCAUAGGACUUUAAGAACCAAUAUAUAUAAAACUACUAUUAUAAUUUGUUUUAAUACUUGAUUAAUAGUAUUAUUUUCAAACUGCCAGUAAAAAAAGAGACUUGAUUUAUUUUCCAUAAAAUAUAUCACAUUUGAUUGAUUGCAAUAGUGUGAUUUUGGCAAUGAAUAUUUUUACAGUAACUUGAAAAAUAAAAAUUAAAUCAGCAUUGUUUUUUAGCCACAUGCAAAGUUUUGAAAUAAUUAAUGUAAUAUAUAAUUUUGUACAUACAAUGUAUGAUUAUUGUUUUAUCUGUAAAAUAUUGUGAAAUUUCACAUUUGGCUGAGUGCGGACUAAGUUUUAAUAAAUUCUUAGUUAAACAUAGUCAUGGAUAUAAUAUAACUAGCAAGCACUGCCAAAAAAUAUUUAUUCAUCUUUAUGUUUGAGAGUUCGGACUGAGUUCAAAUUUUAUUACAAUUUUAUUAUUCAAAGCCUUAAACUCAAUUAAUUAAGUUUUUAAUGAUCCUUAAGAUCUGUAAAAUUAAUAAUUUUUAUAGGAAUGACUAAAGAAGAGAGUGUCUUUACUUGCCAGUGUUAUGAAGAUGUAUAAUACACAUUUCAAUUUGUAUAAUUUUAGCCAGAGAGCUUUAAAAUUGUUAUAAUAUUUUGUUUAUUGGUGACACCAUUGAUAUUUUUUUCUUUAAAUAUGCUAUUUUGACAUUUAUGUUAAGAAUUACAAGUUUAUUAUCAAAGCUAAAUGAAUUCAUUUGCAUUUCACAUAGUUUUAAAUUAGGUUAUUUAAAAUAUUUAUGUUUAGAUAGGUAAAAAUAUUUUCUGAAGGCUUUAUAACUUUUAAAAUUAUACAAAUUAUCUCCCCUUUAUAAUUUGGAAUUUUAGAAUUUUUCACUCAAUGAGAUAUAAAGAUUGUCAAUUUAUGUAUCAAUUAACAAAUAUGUAGAUAGACAAUGCCCUGUUGUCAUAAUUAAAAUGUUUUGAAGUCUUGAAAUUUCCAAAAGGUGGAAAGUUGUCUCAUUGGCAGUCAUACCGCAUCUUCUUAUUUUUAUACCUAAGGGAGUAAAGACCAAUAUGAAAAAUAAAUUUUGAUUUGUCGUUGAAAUGCAGAUAAUCCUGUGUUAGUAUCAGAGGAACUCGCAGUUUCUAGUUGAAUUUUUUUUAAAAUCAUGCAAACCGAACAUAGCCAAGGCUCCGUGUUGAAGGCUGUACUUUGACCUAUAGUUAUUAACUUUUUGUACGACCGCAAAAAUUGAAAAUUUUUUGGUCGUAUAUUGGUAUGACGUUGGCGUCGACGUCGUCGUCGUCGUCGGCGUCGUCGUCUGGCGUCGUCCGGCGUCGGCCGAAGACACAUUGGUUUUCGCACUCUAACUUUAGUUUAAGUGAAUGGAUCUCCAUGAAAUUUUACCAUAAGGUUCAAUACCACAAAAGGAAGGUUGGGAUUGAUUUUGGGGGUUAUGGUACCAACAGUAAAGGAAUUAGGGGCCAAAAAGGGGCCAAAAAUAAGCAUUUUUGUAACUUCCAGACAUAACUUGUGUGUUAGUGUAUGGAUCUCUCUGACAUUGUACCACAAGGUUCCAUAUCACAAAAGGAAUGCUGGGAUUGAUUUUGGGGGUAAUUGCCUCAAAAUUUUAGGAAUUAGGGGCCAAAAAAGGGGCAAAAAACAAGCAUUUUUCUAGUUUCAUGACAAUAACUUGUGUGUAAGUGUAUGGAUCUUUCUGAAAUUGUACUACAAGGUUCCAUAUCACAAAGGGAAAGCUGGAAUUGAGUUUGGGGGUAAUUGCCUAAAACGUUAAGGAAUAAGGGGCCAAAAAUAAGCAUUUUUAUACGACCGCCAAAAAAUUUUGUGGUCUUAUACUGGUAUGACGUUGGCGUCGUCGUCGUCGUCCGAAGACACAUUAGUUUUCGCACUCUAACUUUAGUUUAAGUGAAUGGAUCUUUUUGAAAUUUGACCAUAAGGUUAAAUACCACAAAAGGAAGGUUGGGAUUGAUUUUGGGGGUUAUGGUACCAACAGUUAAGGAAUUAGGGGCCAAAAAGGGGCCAAAAAUAAGCAUUUUCUAGUUUCCAGACAAUAACUGUGGAACGGUGUAUGGAUCUCUCUGAAAUUAUACUACAAGUUUCCAUACCACAAAGGGAUGGUUAGGAUUUGCUUUGGGGGGUUAUGGCUCAAACCGUUUAGGACUUAGGGGCAAAAAAGGGGGAAAAACAGGGUUGUCCUGGUUAAUGGACAAAUACUUCAGUACAAAACAUAAUUUAAAGCAGUGUAAGGGAGAUAAAUCAAAUACAUCAUUGAAAUUAUCUCCCUUACACUGCUUUUAAAUUAUGUAUAAAGUAAUGGUUAAUGAACAAUAAAGAUAAUUUAAAACAGUGUAAGGGAGGUAAUCCAAAUACAACAUUUUGGUUACUUCCCUUACACUGCUUUUAAAUUAUGUUUAAAGAAAUGCAUAUUUAUAAAGGAAGACCAGUAAAAAUAUUUGCAAAUGUUGCAUCUUUUUUUUUUACAAAAAAAUCCAUAUGAAAGAUUUGACACUAUAUUUUUAAUUCUAUUAUAAAAUAGAUUAAGUUAGCACUAUGGUAAAUUUAAAUGGGUAAUUAUGGUUGCCAACUCCAUUGGAAAUUUGAAUUGAGAUUAUGACCAUAUCUUGA